rnacentral:piRNA from 1 species
AAGCCUCUCUCCAAAAGCCU